rnacentral:rRNA from 1 species
GACGAACGCUGGCGGCGUGCCUAAUACAUGCAAGUAGGACGCAGUUGCGAACGGGUGAGUAACGCGUAGGGAACGAACUAGGAGAGGGGGAAAACGAUUGGAAACGAUAGCUACUACCGCAUACUAGUAGAUGGACCUGCGUUGUAGUAGCUAGUAGGUAGGGUAAUGGCCUACCUAGGCAACGAUUCAUAGCCGACCCUCGAGGGUGACCGUCCCCCCUGGGACUGGGCCACCGCCCAGACCCCUACGGGAGGCAUCAGUAGGGAAUCUUCGGCAAUUGGGGGAACCCUGACCGCGCAACGCCGCGUGGGUGAAGAAGGUUUUCGGAUCGUAAAGCUCUGUUGUUAAGGAAGCGGUACUUAACCAGAAAGGGACGGCUAACUACGUGCCAGCAGCCGCGGUAAUAC